rnacentral:lncRNA from 1 species
AAAAAGUUAUAUUAAAUCAAAAUUAAAGUAUUAAGACACUUUUUGUGUUUUGAUACAUUUAUAAAAAUUCAAAAUUAUACAAUAAAUCAUUAUUUAUAUUUUACAUGCGUUAGAGUAAUAAGGAAUAAAAAUAGGUCAGUCCAAAAUCACAUAGCAUUAAGACACUUUUUGUGUUUUGAUACAUUUAUAAAAAUUCAAAAUUAUGCAAUAAAUCAUUAUUUAUAUUUUACAUGUGUUAGAGUAAUAAGGAAUGAAAAU